CAGCCACAUCAUGUUGAAACAUCGGUUCCCGUACGAUCAUCAAAGUUAAGCAACGUCGAGAUUAGUCAGUAUCUGGCUGGGUGACCACUCGGGAAUACCAGGUGCUGUAA